AAACUCAAAGGAAUUGACGGGGGCCCGCACAAGCAGCGGAGCAUGUGGUUUAAUUCGAAGCAACGCGAAGAACCUUACCUAGACUUGACAUCCCUUGCAUAACUCAGAGAUGAGUGAAGUCCUUCGGGACAAGGUGACAGGUGGUGCAUGGUUGUCGUCAGCUCGUGUCGUGAGAUGUUGGGUUAAGUCCCGCAACGAGCGCAACCCUUAUCAUUAGUUGCUACCAUUAAGUUGAGCACUCUAGUGAGACUGCCCGGGUUAACCGGGAGGAAGGUGGGGAUGACGUCAAAUCAUCAUGCCCCUUAUGUCUAGGGCUACACACGUGCUACAAUGGUGAGUACAAAGAGAUGCAAGACCGCAAGGUGGAGCCAAACUCAAAAACUCAUCCCAGUUCGGAUUGUAGGCUGCAACUCGCCUACAUGAAGCCGGAGUUGCUAGUAAUCGCGAAUCAGCAUGUCGCGGUGAAUACGUUCCCGGGCCUUGUACACACCGCCCGUCACACCAUGAGAGUUGGUAACACCCGAAGUCCGUGAGGUAACCGUAAGGAGCCAGCGGCCGAAGGUGGGAUCGAUGAUUGGGGUGAAGUCGUAACAAGGUAGCCGAAUCGAAU
rnacentral:rRNA from 1 species